AAAAACAGAUACCAACCAAUCAAAUGAGAUAGGCAUCCCAGAAAGAAAUACGUAUAAACCCUGAAAUAAUACAACUACUUAAUUCAAUUCAUGGUAACUAAAUGAAAUCAAUCAUUAAAAGUGCUAGACCAAAUGACCACACUGAUGAUAGGAAAUAAGAGAUGAAGAACUACCAUCCGAACACUUAGCAUCAACAGAAACAUAUGAACCAAAGAACAACCCAAGUAUUGUUAGGUGUUACCAGCUCCAAACCAAAGCAGAAGUUUCACACAACAAACACGAAAAUAAGAACAAAACAAUAUGAUUUUCUAAAUACGACUUCAAUGUUGAACUUGAUAACAAACAUCAUGAAUAAUACUUCUGAACGGAACAAUCAGAGGCAAUAAAAUUGGCCAAAAGUAAACAGAACCAGCACCGGAGUUACGAACGUUAACCUCGACAGAUUGCAGACCUCGCUGGAAAACUUCUACCUCGACCGAUCACCCCCAAGCCAACGAAGCAGCAGUAAAACUCAAACAAAACUCCAUGACCGGACUUGAGUGAAUUUCUAUUAAAAUCAGAAAGGAAUGAAGCUCUGAAAUUCACAUAGACUCCAUAACAAAUCUGAAAAUUAAAAUGACUGAAGCAAUUGUAUCUCUGUGUACUUUCGAAUGUAUGUGUGUGUGUUUGAAUCGUUCUCGAAAAAUCAGAGCAAAAUGAAAGAUGUCGCAGCUGAAGGUUCUUCUCUAAUGAAUCUCGAGGUUUGGCUGCUGAAGCUCAGAGAUUAAGGCUGGAAGAUAUGGAGGUCUUGGAGUUAAUGAAAUCCAUCAGAAAACAAAAACUCUAGUCGGGAUCUAAGAGCAACCCUGAUGAAGCAGUAGCCAAAUCUGAUGAAACAACAGUGGUUGACGGAUCUCUUGCCAAAUCUGUCACCCUCCGUCGCCAGUAGUAACAGAGAAAGAGGAAGACGGUGGAGAACAAAUAGCAGUGGUUGAAGCAAAUGAUUUUGCCAACGAUGGAGGUGGAAGGCUGCUCCGUCGAGUUCGCCGCUGCUUGGUGAGAGAAGAGUUAAAGGGUCGUUUGUUUUUUUCUGAUUUUUGGAGGCGAAAGUUUAGCGUCUCUUUUCUCUUAAAAUCAUGGUAACGGUGGAUUCAUUUUUGUGUAUAGGUCUUAGAGUAAUU
rnacentral:lncRNA from 1 species